rnacentral:rRNA from 1 species
AUUGAACGCUGGCGGCAGGCCUAACACAUGCAAGUCGAACGGUAACAGGAAGAAGCUUGCUUCUUUGCUGACGAGUGGCGGACGGGUGAGUAAUGUCUGGGAAACUGCCUGAUGGAGGGGGAUAACUACUGGAAACGGUAGCUAAUACCGCAUAACGUCGCAAGACCAAAAAGGGGGGCCUUCGGGCCUCUUGCCAUCGGAUGUGCCCAGAUGGGAUUAGCUAGUAGGUGGGGUAACGGCUCACCUAGGCGACGAUCCCUAGCUGGUCUGAGAGGAUGACCAGCCACACUGGAACUGAGACACGGUCCAGACUCCUACGGGAGGCAGAAGUGGGGAAUAUUGCACAAUGGGCGCAAGCCUGAUGCAGCCAUGCCGCGUGUAUGAAGAAGGCCUUCGGGUUGUAAAGUACUUUCAGCGGGGAGGAAGGGAGUAAAGUUAAUACCUUAGCUCAUUGACGUUACCCGCAGAAGAAGCACCGGCUAACUCCGUG